UCCCCCCACCUAGCUGAACAGUCAGAGGCAGGGUGGGGAAGAGAAUAACUAAGACAUGAAGAAAAUAGUAAUUCUCUGCACCAAGGAUAGCUGCUCUACUCCUGAGAAGACUGCAAGACCUCCAUCCCAUGGUCUCCUCACGAGGAGCAGUUGUCUGGGGUGAUCUCUCAGUCUCUCCUUUAUCCGGAAAGACUUUGCUGGCCAGAAAACCCCACUGGCUGCUGUUCACUACUGCGGCGCUGUCUCCACUCCUUCAGAGAUGUCUAGUCCGCUAUAGGAACCUCACCUGGAAACCUACACUUCAAUGACCAGUCGUAUCUACCAUUCGUUCAGCGUCGUCAUAACUUCGAAUGGUUACUAAAUGAAUGGCCGUAAUCUAAGGACUACCUGUGAAUAAUAAUCAACUUCAAAGGAAAUAUAUCUGGAAUGAUCUUUACCUACCUGCCAUGCCUAGAAAGCUUCCAUUGUGGUGUUCUUUGCUCAUCGCGAUGCGCCUCAA